rnacentral:rRNA from 1 species
GACGGAAGAUGCAAGUGUUAUCCGGAAUCACUGGGCGUAAAGCGUCUGUAGGUGGUUUAAUAAGUCAACUGUUAAAUCUUGAGGCUCAACCUCAAAAUCGCAGUCGAAACUAUUAGGCUAGAGUAUAGUAGGGGUAAAGGGAAUUUCCAGUGGAGCGGUGAAAUGCGUAGAUAUCGGGAGGAACACCAGUGGCGAAGGCGACUACCUGGCCUGUUUCUUGACGCUGAGGCGCGAAAGCUAGGGGAACAAACGGG